CACAGCGUGUAAAAGGGGGGCUUAGUUGAGUAUGCAGGAAAUUGCCUGAUGGGGAAGGGGGAAAAUUGGAAACGAUGGCUAAUACCGCAUGAUGCCUACGGGCCAAAGAGGGGGACCUUCGGGCCUCUCGCUGCCUGGAUAUGCCUAGGUGGGAUUAGCUAGUUGGUGAGGUAAGGGCUCACCAAGGCGACGAUCCCUAGCUGGUCUGAGAGGAUGAUCAGCCACACUGGAACUGAGACACGGUCCAGACUCCUACGGGAGGCAGCAGUGGGGAAUAUUGCACAAUGGGCGCAAGCCUGAUGCAGCCAUGCCGCGUGUGUGAAGAAGGCCUUCGGGUUGUAAAGCACUUUCAGUCGUGAGGAAGGUAGUGUCGUUAAUAGUUUGCGUUAUUUGACGUUAGCGACAGAAGAAGCACCGGCUAACUCCGUGCCAGCAGCCGCGGUAAUACGGAGGGUGCGAGCGUUAAUCGGAAUUACUGGGCGUAAAGCGCAUGCAGGUGGUUUGUUAAGUCAGAUGUGAAAGCCCGGGGCUCAACCCUCGGAAUAGCAUUUGAAACUGGCAGACUAGAGUACUGUAGAGGGGGGUAGAAUUUCAGGUGUAGCGGUGAAAUGCGUAGAGAUCUGAAGGAAUACCGGUGGCGAAGGCGGCCCCCCUGGACAGAUACUGACACUCAGAUGCGAAAGCGUGGGGAGCAAACAGGAUUAGAUACCCCUGGUAGUCCACGCCGUAAACGAUGUCUACUUGGAGGUUGUGGCCUCUGCAGCCGUGGCUUUCGGAGCUAACGCGUUUAGUAGACCGCCCUGGGGAGUACGGGUCGCAGAUUAAACUCAAUGAAAUUGACGGGGGCCCGCACAGCCGUGGAGCAUGUGGGUUACUUCGGAUGCACGCGCAGACUUUACCUUACCUCUUGGACCUUCCAGAAGAAACCCUUCUUCCUACAG
rnacentral:rRNA from 1 species